GGCUCCGAGGGUACCCUGGUGCUAGGGGUCGUCCGUCCUCCCAGCCUGGCAGCUGGGGGUUCGUGUCUGCGCGCGUCCGCGGCGCCUAGGUGGCCUUUGCUCCUCCAGCCCCCAUUGAAGGUGCGCGUCUGUCCACGCGGGAGUGGGGUGCCCUGCUUUGAGACCCGGGGCCUGCGCGUCCUAGCUGGCAAUGCUGGGCAUCUCCCUUGCCACCCCGCCCAGUGCCCAGCGAGGCAGGGGUCAGCAGCACCAGGAGGGGCAUUUGUCUGGCAUCUUCACUGACUUGAGCAGAGGGCAGGAGCUGUUGUGGGAACCAUGAAUCAGGCAGUCUCCGGGAGACUGAAUGUGGCCACUACUGGGUUCCCACACAAUUUCCAGGCAGUAUUCCUUUCUCGGUGGGCAGAGAAGUCCCAGGAGGAAGUACAGCCUUCCUCUCUGCAGCAGCCCCAAAAGGGUGGAAAAGAUGAAGGAGGGUUGAGUCUGUUAUCUUAGAGCAGCCCCAUGUAUUUAUGUGGAAUGAGUCACUGGGCGCAACUUUCCUCCUGGUUCUAAUAGUGCUGAAGUUUCAAUGCAUGAUGUUUCCCUAUUGUUUCAAUUUUUAAUUUUCUACUACUUAUAUUUUUGUUUUCUCCUUGGUUAUAUUAUAGGACGUUUGUCUGUUGCAGUAGUUCUCAAAGUGUGGGCCAGGAACACCCUGGAGCUUCCUGAGACCCUGUGAGUUGGUGAGUUCAAAACUAAGUUCAGCACUGAGUGUUAUAUGUACUGAUGAAUCACUAAAUUCUACACCUGAAACAAAUUUUACCAUAUAUGUUAACUAACCAGAAUUUAAAUAAAAACUUGAAAAGGAAGGAAAAAAACCCAUGAGUUCAUAAUAAUAGCUUUCCCCCCCACUCGCAUUUUCUCACGAAUGUACAAUAGAGUUUUCCAGAGACUUCUGGAUGUGUAAUAUUGCAACAGAAUGAUAGUGUUAAAGAUAAACAAAAUGGACAUUGAUUAACAUGGUGAAAACAGAUUUUAUUCAGUAACUGCUGACAGUGGGGGAAAGCACUGAACCCCACUUGCAUUUGUGCAGAGGUGACUGGGCCUUUUAAAGAAGAAUAAGGGAAUCAGAAGGGGGAGAGAGCAGGACUCAUGUGGAAAACUACAAAGUGUUGGUCAGUGUAAAUAUGAUUGAGCCAGUGUGCUGUUGCCUGGUGAUUAUCAAAGUUAGGGUUCUACCCUCCCACAGAGACUAGAGACAGCAGCCCUCUCCUUUCUGACCAUUCUGUUUCAAAGGAAACUUUCCUUAAAAAAGACUCUGAGUUGUAGGAUGUACACAGACAUCUCAGACAGAAAGAAUUCAGUUCUAAGCUCUUUUUUAGUAAAUGCUAUAAGAAGAGGAGGUCAGGAGCUAUCCUUGGGUGUUCACCAGAACAAACAGCAAAUUCUCCUGGCAGCAUUUCUCAGGGAGGCAGUCAGCAGGCAUUUCACUGGGAGGAUGGUGUCUUUCUAGGGACACAGCAUUGUGCUGCUAGAAGCCAUGCCAGAGUCCAGUUGUCUCCUACUGAAGAGGUUAGGACUGAACUGAGAGUACUAAGAGUACGGAGACUCUGCAAGUCUCAAAGGCACAAGCAGCUAUGGAAACCCAACUGCCAGACAUUAAAGAGAUUUGCAAAAAUAUAAUGCAACACUAGUCACUAAUAUUUACUUGUUUUGGAAACUGUAGUUAUUUUCCAUAAAGUGGGGGUUUUGAAAAAAAAAACAAACAAAACAAAAACAAAAUGUUGUAUUUGUUUUUUAGGGCUACCAUAAAAAAGUACCACAAACUGGGUGACUUAAAUAACAAAAAUGUAUUGUCUCAAUUAUGGAGGCUACAAGAGAUCAAGGUUUUGAUAUGGUUUGGUCCUUCUGAGGGCAUGAGAGAGAUACUCUGCUCAAUCCCUCUUUUCUCAACUUCUGGUGGUUUCCCAGCAAUCUUUGGUAUCCGUUGGCUUGUAGAUCUCUGCCUUCAUCUUCAUAUGACUUCUCCCUGUGUGCACGUCUGUCUCGAAUUUUCCUCUUUUUAUAAAGACACCAGGGGCACUUGGGUGGCUCAGUCGGUUAAGCAUCCGACUUUGGCUCAGGUCAUGGUCUCAGGGCUCGUGAGUUCGAGACCUGCGUUGGGCUUUCUGCUGUCAGCACAGAGCCCACUUUGGAUCCUGUGUCCCCCUCUCUGUCCCUCCCCUGCUCAUGCUCAAGCUCUCUCUCUCUCUCUCUCAAAAAUAAAUAAACAUUGGGGUACCUGGGUGGCUCAGUCAGUUAAACAUCCUACUGACUCUUGGUUUCGGCUUAGGUUAUGAUCUCAUGGUUUGUAAGUUUGAGCCCCGCAUUGGGCUCUGUGCUGGUGGUGUGGAGCCUGCUUGGGAUUCUCUCUCUCCCUCUCUCUCUUUCUGCCCUUCCCUGAUUCCUGCUGUUUGUCUCUCUCAAAAUAAAUAACUAAAUUUUUUUUUAAAAAAAGCAUUCUCAGGGUUUCUGUGUGGCUCAGUUGGUUGAGCGUCCAACUUCAGCUCGGGUCAAGCCCCGUGGGGAGUUCAAGCACCGCGCUGGGCUCUGUGCUGACAGCUCAGAGUCUGGAGCCAGCUUUGGAUCCUCUGUCCCUUUCUCUCUCUGCCCUUCCCCUGCGCGCGCUCUCUCUCUCUCUCUCUCUCUCUCUUUCUCUCUGUCAAAAAUAAAUAAACAUUAAAAAAUUAAAAAAAAUUCUUUUGUUGAAAAUCUUUAAGAAAUAAACAUUAAAAAAAUGAAAGCAUGCUUUGAUAAUAAUUUUGUAUGUAUUCCUCUGGUUUUGAUAUGGAGUAUAUUAUUUUUUUGUCUAAACAAAAUCAGAUUAUUUUUUAUUUUACUUACUUAUUUUAUUAUUUUCCUCUUUGACCAAAUAGCUUUUGGAUGAUAAUUUAUUUUUAAUGUUUAAAAAAUUUUUAAUGUUUAUUUAUUUUUAAGAGAGAGAGAUUGAGAGAGAGAGAGCAUAAAUAGGGGAGGGGCAGAGAGAGAGGGAGACACAGAAGCUGAAGCAGGCUCCAGGCUCUGAGCUGUCAGCACAGAGACCAAUACGGAGCUUGAACUCAUGAACUGUGAGAUCAUGACCUGAGUUGAAGUCAGAUGCUCAACCAACUGAGCCACCCAGUUGCCCCCACAUCUUUCUUUUUAAAACCCUUUUAGGGGGCACCUGGGUGGCUCAGUCGGUUAAGCGUCCAACUUUGGCCCAGGUCCUGAUCUCACAGUUUGUGGAUUCAAACCCCGCAUUAGGCUGUGUGCUGAUGGCUCAAAGCCUGCAACCUGCUUCGGAUUCUGUGUCUCCUUCUCUCUCUGCCCCUCCCCCACUCACGCUCUAUCUCUCUCCUUCAAAAAUAAACAUUAAAAAAAAAAAAUCUUUUUUAAAACCCUUUUAGAGCAUUCUCACACCAUUCCUCUAUGUGCCUGAAAAUCCACUUUCUGAAGAGGGAAAAUCCACAAGUGGGAGGCCUAAAGGAGAUUGGAUGGGAGCGAUGGGGAUAUUUUGGUGGAAAGUGUCCCAGGCAGAGAUCACAGAAUAUAGCAAGACUCUAGAUGCUCAAAGAACUGUCUUGUGAAACUUAAAUAUAUGUAGGUGUAUAUCAUGUUUUCUCCUUACCUUGGCUAAUAUUUUAAACUGGGCGGCUCCACUUUAUGUCCCUUGGGCACCUCAAUAUAACCUGUCCAAAAGCAUACGUGCUGUUCUUGUGCUCCAAGCUUCCUCUUUCAUGUCACCUCAGCCUACUCAUCUUUCUAUAUCAUAAUCUGAUAUAAGAUUAAGAUUCUUUGAGAAAGAUUCCUUUCUCUCUGUUACUCCUCCGUGGGUCACUGAGGAUCCAUGGUGGAUUAAGAUAGUCCCAAAUUCUUUGUGUCUCUUCCCACCAGGAGGUGGGAUUUAUAUCCCCUCCCCCUGUCUGGGCUGCCCCUGACUGACUAUGCAAUAAAAUGUAGCAAAAGUGAUGAUGUGUGACUUCUGAGGCCAAAUCAUAAGAAGUUUUUACAGAUUCUGCCUGGGUCUCCUGGAAUGUUCAUUCUUGGGACACCCUCUCUUAGAACCCAGCCACCAUGCUGAGAGGAUCCUAGGCCACUUGAAGGGGUCGGUGCUCCAGUCAACAGUCCCAGCUGAGCUCACACCUGGCAGCCAGCGCCAGCCUUAAUCUUCACCCUGAGCCUUCAAAUGUCUCCAGCCCUGAUCGCGUUGACCUGAAACCACACAAGAGGCCCUAAGUGAAAAGAACCACCCAGCUACCCAGUCAACUUAUAGAACGGUAAGAAAUUAAAGAAAGUAUUGUUUUAAACCACUGUGUUUGGGAUGUUUGUUACAUAAUAUUAGAAAAGUGAAUCUGUGGCUUGUGGAUGUUUACCUUCCUAAAAAUCUUUCUUGCUUAUUCCUUCCUAUUAGUUCAGUCCCUCAUCGUUGCUUUUAAAAAUAUAAAACACAUGUUUUUUUUUUAAUUUUUUUUUUCAACGUUUAUUUAUUUUUGGGACAGAGAGAGACAGAGCAUUAACGGGGGAGGGGCAGAGAGAGAGGGAGACACAGAAUCGGAAACAGGCUCCAGGCUCUGAGCCAUCAGCCCAGAGCCCGACGCGGGGCUCGAACUCACGGACCGCGAGAUCGUGACCUGGCUGAAGUCGAACGCUUAACCGACUGCGCCACCCAGGCGCCCCUAUAACACAUGUUUUUAAGCAAGUAAUACAUUCUCAUGACUUGAAAUUCAGAAGGUGCACUAUGGUAUCUGGUGAGAUCUUCCUCUUUCCCUUGACUCCCACCACUGACUUCCUUACUUCUAGCAACUACUAUUUUUAGUUUCUUGUAGGUCCUUCUGGAGACACGUUAUGUAUUCACAAGUAAAUAUAUGUAAAUAUUUUUUCAUUCUCUUAUACAAGUGGUGGCUACCACGCAUUGAAUUUUACCUUCCUUUUAUUCAGUUAACAAUAUUCUAGAAAUCUUUCCAUACAAGCAUGUAAGAUCCUUCCUUAUUAUUUUUAACAACUUUAUUGAGAUAUUAGUUCCUCUUCAUCUAUUUAAAGUGGGGUCCCGGGGCGCCUGGGUGGCGCAGUCGGUUAGGCGUCCGACUUCAGCCAGGUCACGAUCUCGCGCUCUGUGAGUUCGAGCCCCGCGUCAGGCUCUGGGCUGAUGGCUCAGAGCCUGGAGCCUGUUUCUGAUUCUGUGUCUCCCUCUCUCUCUGCCCCUCCCCCGUUCAUGCUCUGUCUCUCUCUGUCCCAAAAAUAAAUAAAUGUUGGAAAAAAAAAAAAAAUUUAAAGUGGGGUCCCCAGUUGGAGCAUAGAGACUUUCUGGGGCUGAGAAAAUGACUCUUAGGUUAAGAAUCUCAGUAGACAAACUGGCCUGCAGGAGAGUGUCUGUUGAGAACCACAGAAGAAAUAGCUCAUGACAGAACAAAACAUAAAGAGAUGGAAAUUUUGAUGGAAGGUAAUAGCCUAAGUGAACAGAUCCAGAAAGCCUCAUGGGCCAAUAAUGGGACCCCAGAUGGAGAAUGGGGGACAGAGAGAGAAGCUCAUGAUCAAGGCAAUCACUGAGGAAAGUUUGUUGAUGUGAAGAAACUCUUUGUCAGUGUUGGAGAGGGCUCACCGAGUUCUUGGAAGGCGUGAUGUAUUAAACUGUUUGAAAAUCCAUUUGGUCACAAAUUGUGUGUGUGUGUGUGUGUGUGUGUGUGUGUGUGUGUGUGUGUGUAAAUACAACUAUUGUGACUGUUAUGCCAAGCUUGUUAAUCAUUUCAUGGUGAAUCACUUACCUACUUAAACAGCCAUUUUUUUUUCCUGAGAAAUAUGUUAAAGUUUCCCCAAAUGACUGUACUGUAGAUUUACCCAUUUUUCCUGGUAUUUCUACUAUUUUUCAGUAGUGCCAUUUCUAAAGGUUCAUGGUCAUUUAAAAUCUUUGUAGAUUUUACCUUUUAUUAACAUAAAAUAUCCCUCUGCAGAACAGAGAGGGUUAUUGAAUCAAGUGGUCUGAAACCCUGUAGAGCUCUUCAUACCCCAGGGUCUUUCCAGAAAUUAUACCCCUUGACACUUCUGCAUCAGUGUAUCUCCCUCACCAACCUCUGACGUAUGGGCUUUACAAUUUUAAAAGAAUCCUUGCAAAGCCAAAUGGCAUGGAACAGUGACUGGCCUUUUAAAUUUGCAUUUCCCUAGGUUAGAUCUAUGUAUCUACUUCUAGGCCAUGUUUGAAUCCUUUCUUCUAAGCACUUUGGAUUGUCUUAGCUUUACUUUUUCCAGCUAAUUUCAGACCAUUUGCUUAUUAUAUGAUCAUUCUGUGUUAGUUCAUCUAGCGCUUAUUGGGUGCCCUCUCUGUUCCAGAUUCUCUGGGGCAGACCCAGCUUGGGCCCUCUUCCUGGCAGCUAGGAACAGCUUGACCUCAUGGGAGAAAGAUGCUGGGUUUCUUUGAGCAUCUUUCUGGAGAGCUCAGCACAGCUGUGGCCAAACACCAGGAAAACUGCUGGGGGAGGCAGCCCCUUUGGAGCAGAGCAUUUCCAAGAUCAGGAUACAGUGUGACUGGAAUCCCCAGAUCUGUUAGGGAAAGGGUCCUGCUAUGAAGUGGGCAGAUGUAGAAUCCUCAAAUCUGGACCGAAGAACAAGCUGUUUUCUACCUGGGAUGGCUAGAUCUGUGACCUCAACGUGCUGCAGACAAAGGGCAAUCCCUUCCCACUCCCUCUGAGCCCGGCAAUGUGCGAAGGGUUUCCACAUGUGCAGGAGACACAGAAACCACCAUCGAGCUAUCUACAUCUUCUCCAACUCCAACUAGACAGAUUCUUACACACGAGAAUGUCUGAGAACACAGCUGGGCAUGGCUCUAUGGAGUGACACUUCAUUUUCCUCUCCAGAGAUCAUAGUUCCAGCCAAGUCUUGACCACUAACUCACUCUUUGUUCCUGAACCCCCCCCCCAACACACACACACAGGGUGACUGCUUGAUCCCCAACCCCUGAGAGAGUAAGAUUGCCAUCGCAUGUGUCAAACUCUUCUCUGGAAGUCAGGAGAUCAGUUCCAGUCUUUGCAGUAGGAAGUGAGACCUGGAUAACAUCCUUCAUCUAAGGGGAGGGAACUGAGGAACAGAGAGGUAGGCAUAAAAGUCCCUCAGGCCACACAGCAUGUUCAUUAAGGAAAACUCACCAAAUAUGACUAGUGAGUCUUUAAUCUCAUACAAUUCCUCCUCAAAUCUGCUCCUCUCUAUUUCCUUCAUCAUCCUUCCAGUGCUGGAGGUGAGGUGAGGUGAGGUGAGGUGAGGUGAGGUGAGGUGAGGUGAGGUGAGGUGAUUCUCCAGCGCUUCUACAUUGAACCAAGAAUGGCUAUUAUGUACCAGGAACUGUUUGGCAGUGAAGCAGACAACAGCCCUACGCUUAUGAACUGACAUUUUGUGUGUGUGUGGAAGGUGGGGUGGGUUAGAAUUAUUUUUUUUAAUUACAUAUUUUUUAUGUCAGAUGGUAUUAGGAUGAACUAGGUUCUGUUGAACUAACAAACAAGACCCCACUUUCAAUGGCUCAUGUCUGCUUACAGUUGAUUUACUAGUCAUGCUCUCUGUCCACUGGGGUUGGCAGUUGAGUGGGAGGGGAAAGGGGUGUUGUCCAGCUCAUCAUGGCUAUGAUGGGUGUUGCUGGUUACCAGAGCCUCCUUGUCUUGACUCCCUCUGCAUCCCCUGCAGCAACAAUCACUUGUACAGCGUGACUGAGUUUCUCUCUGUGAGAUCUGCAACCAGCCACCAGUGGUGUGGAGGAGGAGGUGACAGAUCCAAGUGUCAACUGCUGCUGCUGCUGCUGCUGAUCAACUGCUGAGAUGAUGAUGGGAGUUUAAGUUCACUGUGAUUUCCACACCGAGAAUUUGAGGACCAACAAGGAGCUCGGUGGGCUGGGGCUCAAGGAAGACACAGCUCUGGUACGUACGUGGAUGGCAAGCAGGAUUACAGGGACAAGAGGACAGAUUGUGAAAACAGAACAUGCAACCUGAAAGUGGAGCAAGGACCUAAAUAUCCAGAACUCCUCCAUCAGUUCUGUUUCUACAAGAAUGAAUAUGAAUAGUGUAAAUAAUUCUUGGGUGAUGUUAUAUACACAGAGCACAUUUGUUGACAGCCAGCUGGCAAAAUUCAUACAGCCUUAGCAUCACAUCCAUAAGAAUUAAGAUGCCAAGAGCUGAUGAUGUUGAAAGAAAAUCAGAAGCUUCCACAGCCCCCAGAAGGACAAAUGUACAAUUAGUGUAUCUCAGAGUCAUCUUAGGUCAAGAACAUUCUGCUCAUGCUAUCUUCAUUAAAUACCAUGAUGCAACAUGUCUGCAGCUGGUAAACUGGACCUGAACAUUACUAAGAAUGUUUAACAUUCUUAGUGGUGUUUAACACACCGGGGCACCUAGCUGACUUAUGGUAAAGCAUGUGACUCUUGAUGUCAGAGUUGUGAGUUCAAACCCCAUGUUAGGCAUAGAGCUUACAUUAAAAAAAAAAAAAAAAAAAGUUUAAACAUAAAUGUAUGUUUUAUGUUUAGGGUAUUUAUAGAAGAAAAAAAGACAAUAUCAUUUUUUUUGUUUUCUUAUCAAGGUACUGUGUCAUUUAAGCCUGGAACGAUCCAAAUGGGAUUUGAGUCUACAAACUGAAUCAUGGCAAGGAGUGUCAAGUCUGAGGUAUGGAGGUGUGAUUCUGAAAACCAGCCUCAAGCAGGAUUUAUAUGAACCGUGUGUUUUACCCACUUGAGCAGCCAGGGCAAUAGUCUGAACUACUAAUGGAACAGGUACUGUGAAUACGGCUAAAUAUAUUCAUGUUUGAAGAGGCAUGAGAGCUCGCACAAAGAAGACUAAUAUGGCAGCCUAGGCUCCACCUGUUACAAGUCCCGUUUUCAGGGUUGGCCUGGCCCUUGGCUGACACCUGGCAACUUGGCUUUUAGAGUUUUGUGUGUAUCCCAACUGAUAAGCAUGUCUCACUGUGCCCAGAAUAUGCAAACGAUGUGAUUUACACUGAACACCUGCUUUCCUUCUGGGAGUCUGGAAUGUGGUAUGUUUUAGACAGAAGGUGCCUACUUGCCUGGUCUUCAGUGCAUUGUGUGACCCCCUCAGAAGAGGGAGAGAGAAGAGGGAGAGAUUGCAUCACAAUCUGUCCUCUUGUCCCUGUAAUCCUGCUCGGUGUGGAAAUCACAGUGAACUUAAACUCCCAUCAUCAUCUCAGUGCAUUGUGUGACCCCCUCAGAAGAGGGGAGAAGAGAAGACAGAAAUCCUGCGCGUGGAUUUCCCCAGACUUCACCUUUCUCCUUAUGGUCCACCUGUGUGUCCUUGCUACAUCACUACAAUAAGCCUUAGCUGUGAGUAUGAGGAUAUGCUGAGUCUCAUGAAAUCGCCUGGAAAUCUCUGGAUGUGGGGAUGGUCUUGUGGCCCUCAACAGUUUCGCUGCCUAGUUGU
rnacentral:lncRNA from 1 species